rnacentral:rRNA from 1 species
AUUGAACGCUGGCGGCAGGCCUAACACAUGCAAGUCGAGCGUCGCCGGACGGGUGAGUAAUGUAUGGGGAUCUGCCUGAUGGAGGGGGAUAACUACUGGAAACGGUAGCUAAAACCGCUUCCCCUCAGAUUAACCCAUAUGGGGUUAGCUUGUAGGUGCGGUAACGGCCAAACUAGGCGACGAUCCCUAGCUGGUUUGAGAGGAUGAUCAGCCACACUGGGACUGAGACACGGCCCAGACUCCUACGGGAGGCAGCAGUGGGGAAUAUUGCACAAUGGGCGCAAGCCUGAUACAGCCAUGCCGCGUGUAUGAAGAAGGCCUUCGGGUUGUAAAGUACUUUCAGUCGGGAGGCGUUACCGACAGAAGAAGCACCGGCUAACUCCGUGCCAGCAGCCGCGGUAAUUC